UUCUGCCCUAUGAUUUUUUAAAUGGCUGCAGUAUUUUGACUGUGCAAAGGUAGCAUAAUAAUUAGUCAUUUAAUUGUUGACUUGAAUGAAUGGAUAUAUGAGAGAUUAAUUUUAUUAAUUUUAUUAUUAAAAUUUUAUUUUUAAGUAAAAAAGCUUAAUUUUAAUUUUGGGACGAUAAGACCCUAAAGAACUUUAUUACUAUUAUUUAUUAAUAUUAAUUAGUAAAUUAAAUUAUAUUAAUUAUUUUAUUUUUUUUAUUGGGGUGAUAAAUAAAUUAAACUUUAUUUAAUUAAAUCAUUAAUUUAUGAUAAUUAUGAUCUGUUAUUUACAAUUAAAAGAAGAAGUUACCUUAGGGAUAACAGCGUAAUUUUAAUGGGGAGUUCAUAUCUAUAUUAAAGUUUGCGACCUCGAUGUUGAAUUAAGAUAAAUAUAGGGGGUAG
rnacentral:rRNA from 1 species